CCAGGACCUGCUCCGGGCCAUCAGUGGCACCCUCAUCUUCCUCGUGGUGGCCCUGGUGGCCUUGGCCUCAUCCCGUGACGCCCUGGCUGCCACCACCUUCACCUUCAGCCUCGUCCUGGCCUUGGUCUUCGCCUUCGACACCUUCGUCACCUUCCGCACACGGGUGGCCCCGGGACAGGACCCCGACAUGGAGGGCGGCUGAAGGCCACGCCCCCCACCGCUGUCCCACUGUCCCCUCUGUCCCCUCGCCACCCGGUCCUGCCCCCCACCCCCCAGAUUAAACCUUGUCCC